rnacentral:sRNA from 14 species
GGCACUGGUGAUGGCACGCCCGUGUGGGCCGGGGUUCGAGUCCCCGCAGUACC